rnacentral:rRNA from 1 species
CNNNNNUUGCUCCUGGAUUCAGCGGCGGACGGGUGAGUAAUGCCUAGGAAUCUGCCUGGUAGUGGGGGACAACGUUUCGAAAGGAACGCUAAUACCGCAUACGUCCUACGGGAGAAAGCAGGGGACCUUCGGGCCUUGCGCUAUCAGAUGAGCCUAGGUCGGAUUAGCUUGUUGGUGAGGUAAUGGCUCACCAAGGCGACGAUCCGUAACUGGUCUGAGAGGAUGAUCAGUCACACUGGAACUGAGACACGGUCCAGACUCCUACGGGAGGCAGCAGUGGGGAAUAUUGGACAAUGGGCGAAAGCCUGAUCCAGCCAUGCCGCGUGUGUGAAGAAGGUCUUCGGAUUGUAAAGCACUUUAAGUUGGGAGGAAGGGUUGUAGAUUAAUACUCUGCAAUUUUGACGUUACCGACAGAAUAAGCACCGGCUAACUCUGUGCCAGCAGCCGCGGUAAUACAGAGGGUGCAAGCGUUAAUCGGAAUUACUGGGCGUAAAGCGCGCGUAGGUGGUUUGUUAAGUUGGAUGUGAAAGCCCCGGGCUCAACCUGGGAACUGCAUCCAAAACUGGCAAGCUAGAGUACGGUAGAGGGUGGUGGAAUUUCCUGUGUAGCGGUGAAAUGCGUAGAUAUAGGAAGGAACACCAGUGGCGAAGGCGACCACCUGGACUGAUACUGACACUGAGGUGCGAAAGCGUGGGGAGCAAACAGGAUUAGAUACCCUGGUAGUCCACGCCGUAAACGAUGUCAACUAGCCGUUGGAAUCCUUGAGAUUUUAGUGGCGCAGCUAACGCAUUAAGUUGACCGCCUGGGGAGUACGGCCGCAAGGUUAAACUCAAAUGAAUUGACGGGGGCCCGCACAAGCGGUGGAGCAUGUGGUUUANUUCGAAGCAACGCGAAAAACCUUACCAGGCCUUGACAUGCANAGAACUUUCCAGAGAUGGAUUGGUGCCUUCGGGAACUCUGACACAGGUGCUGCAUGGCUGUCGUCAGCUCGUGUCGUGANAUGUUGGGUUAANUCCCGUAACGAGCGCACCCUNGUCNUNNUUACNGCACGUUAUGGNGGGCACUCUANGANAUGCCGNGACAACCGAAGAAGGGGGGAUGACGUCANUCAUCNUGGCCUUACGCCUGGGNUNCCCGNGCUCAUGGCNGNACAAGGNUGCCANCCCNAGGGGNNUAUCCNAAACCAUCNAANCNGAUCCANCUGCAUCCCUGCGGAANCGAAUCUUNAACCCAAAAANGNCGGGAACUC